GAUGAAGAACGUAGCGAAAUGCGAUAAGUAAUGUGAAUUGCAGAAUUCAGUGAAUCAUCGAAUCUUUGAACGCACCUUGCGCCCUUUGGCCAUUCCGAAGGGCAUGCCUGUUUGAGUAUCAUGAACACCUCAACUCUUCAUGGUUUUCCGUGAUGAGCUUGGACUUUGGGGGUCUUGCUGGCCUAUGGUCAGCUCCUCUAAAAUAAAUCAGCUUGCCAGUGUUUGGUGGGUAUCACAGGUGUGAUAACUAUCUACGCUUGUGGUUUUCCACCAGGUAACCUUCAGCAGUGGAGGUUCGCUGGAGCUCACAGAUGUGUCUCUCCUCAGUGAGGACAGCUCUAUGAAUGUUUGAUCUCAAAUCAGGUAGGACUACCCGCUGAACUUAAGCAUAUCAAUAAGCGGAGGA
rnacentral:misc_RNA from 1 species